rnacentral:tRNA from 1 species
GGAGGUUCGAAUCCUUCCGUCCCA